GAUGAAGAACGUAGCGAAACGCGAUAAGUAAUGUGAAUUGCAGAAUCCAGUGAAUCAUCGAAUCUUUGAACGCACAUUGCGCCCGCCAGCAUUCUGGUGGGCAUGCCUGUUCGAGCGUCAUUUCAACCCUCGACCUCCCCUUGGGGAGGUCGGCGUUGGGGACCGGCAGCACACCGCCGGCCCUGAGAUGGAGUGGCGGCCCGUCCGCGGCGACCUCUGCGCAGUAAUACAGCUCGCACCGGGACCCCGACGCGGCCACGCCGUAAAACACCCAACUUCUGAACGUUGACCUCGAAUCAGGUAGGACUACCCGCUGAACUUAAGCAUAUCAAUAAGCGGAGGA
rnacentral:misc_RNA from 1 species